rnacentral:rRNA from 1 species
GGCUGCAACUCGCCUACAUGAAGUUGGAAUCGCUAGUAAUCGCGAAUCAGAAUGUCGCGGUGAAUACGUUCCCGGGUCUUGUACACACCGCCCGUCACACCACGGGAGUUUACAACACCCGAAGUCAGUGGCCUAACCGUAAGGAGGGAGCUGCCUAAGGUGGGGUAGAUGAUUGGGGUGAAGUCGUAACAAGGUAAC